GUUACAAAUGAUGAUAGAUCAGACAGGGACAUCUGCAUUCCAUUGGAGUAUGAUGAUUUGUCUGUGGGAAUUGUUCUGAUGUGAA